GAUGAAGAACGUAGCGAAAUGCGAUACGUAAUGUGAAUUGCAAAUUCAGUGAAUCAUCGAGUCUUUGAACGCACAUUGCGCCCCCUGGUAUUCCGGGGGGCAUGCCUGUCCGAGCGUCAUUGCUGCCCUCAAGCACGGCUUGUGUGUUGGGCCCCGUCCUCCGAUCCCGGGGGACGGGCCCGAAAGGCAGCGGCGGCACCGCGUCCGGUCCUCGAGCGUAUGGGGCUUUGUCACCCGCUCUGUAGGCCCGGCCGGCGCUUGCCGAUCAACCCAAAUUUUUAUCCAGGUUGACCUCGGAUCAGGUAGGGAUACCCGCUGAACUUAAGCAUAUCAAUAAGCGGAGGU
rnacentral:misc_RNA from 1 species